GCCCGAUUAGCUCAGCUGGUUAGAGCGUCGUACUAAUAGAAUUCUCGGUUCCCAGCUCUCCCCGUUGAGAGAGGAUCCAAAAAGAGGUUCUAUAGAGUCCAUGCGAAGGUCAACAGUUCAAUCCUGUUAUUGGGCA